AAAACUUUCAACAACGGAUCUCUUGGUUCUGGCAUCGAUGAAGAACGCAGCGAAAUGCGAUAAGUAAUGUGAAUUGCAGACUUCAGUGAAUCAUCGAAUCUUUGAACGCACAUU
rnacentral:rRNA from 1 species